GACGAACCGUGCGAACGUUGUUCGGAAUCACUGGGCUUAAAGGGAGCGUAGGCGGGCUAUCAAGUCUGGGGUGAAAUCCCGCGGCUCAACCGCGGAACUGCCUCAGAUACUGACGGCCUCGAGGGAGAUAGGGGCAUGCGGAACUGUAGGUGGAGCGGUGAAAUGCGUUGAUAUCUACAGGAACUCCGGUGGCGAAAGCGGCGUGCUGGAUCUCUUCUGACGCUGAGGCUCGAAAGCUAGGGGAGCGAACGGG
rnacentral:rRNA from 1 species